ACAAACUCCGAAUGCCAAUUAAUUUAACUUGGGAGUCAGAACAUGGGUGAUAAGGUCCGUGUUCGAAAGGGAAACAGCCCAGACCACCAGCUAAGGUCCCAAAAUAUAUGUUAAGUGGAAAAGGAUGUGGCGUUGCCCAGACAACUAGGAUGUUGGCUUAGAAGCAGCCAUCAUUUAAAGAGUGCGUAAUAGCUCACUAGUCGAGUGACACUGCGCCGAAAAUGUACCGGGGCUAAACAUAUUACCGAAGCUGUGGAUUGUCCUUUGGACAAUGGUAGGAGAGCGUUCUAAGGGCGUCGAAGCAUGAUCGCAAGGACAUGUGGAGCGCUUAGAAGUGAGAAUGCCGGUGUGAGUAGCGAAAGACGGGUGAGAAUCCCGUCCACCGAUUGACUAAGGUUUCCAGAGGAAGGCUCGUCCGCUCUGGGUUAGUCGGGUCCUAAGCUGAGGCCGACAGGCGUAGGCGAUGGAUAACAGGUUGAUAUUCCUGUACCACCUAGCAUCGUUUUAAUCGAUGGGGGGACGCAGUAGGAUAGGCGAAGCGUGCUGUUGGAGUGCACGUCCAAGCAGUAAGGCUGAGUGUUAGGCAAAUCCGGCACUCAUAAGGCUGAGCUGUGAUGGGGAGAGGAAAUUGUUUCCUCGAGUCGUUGAUUUCACACUGCCGAGAAAAGCCUCUAGAUAGAUAACAGGUGCCCGUACCGCAAACCGACACAGGUAGUCAAGAUGAGAAUUCUAAGGUGAGCGAGCGAACUCUCGUUAAGGAACUCGGCAAAAUGACCCCGUAACUUCGGGAGAAGGGGUGCUCUUUAGGGUUUACGCCCAGAAGAGCCACAGUGAAUAGGCCCAAGCGACUGUUUAUCAAAAACACAGGUCUCUGCUAAACCGUAAGGUGAUGUAUAGGGGCUGACGCCUGCCCGGUGCUGGAAGGUUAAGAGGAGUGGUUAGCUUCUGCGAAGCUACGAAUCGAAGCCCCAGUAAACGGCGGCCGUAACUAUAACGGUCCUAAGGUAGCGAAAUUCCUUGUCGGGUAAGUUCCGACCCGCACGAAAGGCGUAACGAUUUGGGCACUGUCUCAACGAGAGACUCGGUGAAAUCAUAGUACCUGUGAAGAUGCAGGUUACCCGCGACAGGACGGAAAGACCCCGUGGAGCUUUACUGUAGCCUGAUAUUGAAAUUCGGCACAGCUUGUACAGGAUAGGUAGGAGCCUUUGAAACGUGAGCGCUAGCUUACGUGGAGGCGUUGGUGGGAUACUACCCUAGCUGUGUUGGCUUUCUAACCCGCACCACUUAUCGUGGUGGGAGACAGUGUCAGGCGGGCAGUUUGACUGGGGCGGUCGCCUCCUAAAAGGUAACGGAGGCGCUCAAAGGUUCCCUCAGAAUGGUUGGAAAUCAUUCAUAGAGUGUAAAGGCAUAAGGGAGCUUGACUGCGAGACCUACAAGUCGAGCAGGGUCGAAAGACGGACUUAGUGAUCCGGUGGUUCCGCAUGGAAGGGCCAUCGCUCAACGGAUAAAAGCUACCCCGGGGAUAACAGGCUUAUCUCCCCCAAGAGUUCACAUCGACGGGGAGGUUUGGCACCUCGAUGUCGGCUCAUCGCAUCCUGGGGCUGUAGUCGGUCCCAAGGGUUGGGCUGUUCGCCCAUUAAAGCGGUACGCGAGCUGGGUUCGUUCAGAACGUCGUGAGACAGUUCGGUCCCUAUCCGUCGUGGGCGUAGGAAAUUUGAGAGGAGCUGUCCUUAGUACGAGAGGACCGGGAUGGACAUACCUCUGGUGUACCAGUUGUCGUGCCAACGGCAUAGCUGGGUAGCUAUGUAUGGACGGGAUAAGUGCUGAAAGCAUCUAAGCAUGAAGCCCCCCUCAAGAUGAGAUUUCCCAACUUCGGUUAUAAGAUCCCUCGAAGAUGACGAGGUUAAUAGGUUCGAGGUGGAAGCGUGGUGACACGUGGAGCUGACGAAUACUAAUCGAUCGAAGACUUAAUC
rnacentral:rRNA from 1 species